GAUCUGGCUCAGGAUGAACGCUAGCUACAGGCUUAACACAUGCAAGUCGAGGGGCAGCAUGAGAUUAGCUUGCUAAUCUUGAUGGCGACCGGCGCACGGGUGAGUAACGCGUACCCAACCUUCCCCCUACUCAGGCAUAGCCCGGUGAAAACCGGAUUAACUCCUGAUAGUUUCACUAGAUGGCAUCUGACGGUGAAUAAAGCUCAGCGGUAAGGGAUGGGGAUGCGUCUGAUUAGCUUGUUGGCGGGUAACGGCCCACCAAGGCGACGAUCAGUAGGGUUCUGAGAGGAAGGUCCCCCACAUUGGAACUGAGACACGGUCCAAACUCCUACGGGAGGCAGCAGUGAGGAAUAUUGGUCAAUGGGCGCGAGCCUGAACCAGCCAAGUAGCGUGCCAGGAAGACGGCCCUAUGGGUUGUAAACUGCUUUUGUGCGGGAAUAAAGUCAGGGACGUGUCCCUGUUUGCAUGUACCGCAAGAAUAAGGACCGGCUAAUUCCGUGCCAGCAGCUGC
rnacentral:rRNA from 1 species